rnacentral:ncRNA from 1 species
GUAAUUCCAGCUCCAAUAGCGUAUAUUUAAGUUGUUGCAGUUAAAAAGCUCGUAGUUGGACUUAAGGGUGGGUCUGCCGAUCAGCCUCACGGUAAGCACCGGUCUGCUCGUCCCUACUGUCGGUGAUGCACUCGUGGCCUUAAUUGGCCGGGUUGUUCCUCCGGCGCUGUUACUUUGAAGAAAUUAGAGUGCUCAAAGUAGGCCUACGCUUGUAUACAUUAGCAUGGG